CCAGUGGAGUCUGGGGCCAUGAGAAGCCUGGCCCCUGAACUACUGCAGCCUCUCACACACAAGCCCAUGUGGCUGUGGUGGCUCUAAGAUCCUAGACACUGGUUCCCCUCUCUUCAUCCUGCUCCUCAGCAGAAUGAAAGUCUCCAGAGAGAACACCAUGAGCCUCCUACCCCUCAGCUCUUGUUUUCAUGCACAGGAUUUGGCUUUCUGCAGAGUUCAUCCUCGGCUCAAAGGCCUGCCUUGUGUCACAGAUGAGGAGAACACAGCUGCCCAAAGAACCAUGUCUCUCCAGCUUCGGAUCCAGGCAGCUCUCUGUUUCCCAUCACAGAUGGUAUGGAAAAGUCUGGCUGCUGACUUUUUGGCUCCUCUUUCCCAUUUCCUCUCCUCACAGCUAAUUUAAGAAAGUCUACAUGAUACCAGGACAACUGUCGGCCCUGCUUCACUUCCCUUGCCUUUGUGUCUCCAGCCACCCACAGCCCCAUCUCCUCCAAGGACCCUCCACAAUCCCAGCCAGGCCUGGUCUAACUUCAGGAUCCUUAGCCAAAGUAACCAGUGUGGUGUGGAAGGAAGCCAUACCUCCCAGGAGGGGAUCCUGGAUCUGUAUACACUUCUUAGUUCCAGCAAACUUUAAUACCUCUGGGUAUCCCCUUGCUGCCAGCAAUAGCUGGGAGUGGUAAUUCAGGCGAGAACUGUGUGCCAGCAUCAUCUUGAUUGUCAGCACGCCCUGCCCUUCCAGUUAGAUUCACUCCAUGGGUGUAGGCUACUACUUGGCGUUGCUCGUUUCCCUAGUGUGCCAGUCCUUCACCCAAUGGGGCAAUUCUAGCACCUGAAGUCCAUAACCAUAUCCUGGCUCUGCUACGUCACUCUAUGGAGAAGCCACUCAUUCCUCAGUGCCUGUCAGUAAGUAGACAAGAUUUAGCAGAUCGCCAGUUCGUCAGGAUAGUUCAUUCCAGGGCCAAGGUGAUGGCUAAUCUUAAUGGAAGCACACUCGGAGUGUGUCAGUGAUCCAGAGAUGAUUCCGUUGGACCCUGAGGGCUCUGAUCUCAUUGGUGGAUUGAUCACUCAAUGAAUUCAUAAUAUAACAACUGGCGAGUAAUAGACGAUGCCACUGACAGAUGGGACCUAGUUGAAGAGGUAGUCACUGGGGCACGUCUUUAAAAGGCAUAUCUUGCCUUAGCCCCUUUCUGUAUUCCCUAUCAGUUUUCUGUUUACCACACGAACUGUCACUGCUUGACCAAACCCUGAGUAAAAUGUCGUCCCUCCCUUUGUUGUUUAUAUCAGGCAGACAUUCUGUCAUGGUGUUGAGAAAG
rnacentral:lncRNA from 1 species